rnacentral:rRNA from 1 species
UGAGGAAUAUUGGUCAAUGGACGCAAGUCUGAACCAGCCAAGUAGCGUGCAGGAUGACGGCCCUAUGGGUUGUAAACUGCUUUUAUAUGGGGAUAAAGUGGGGAACGUGUUCCCUUUUGCAGGUACCAUAUGAAUAAGGAACGGCUAAUUCCGUGCCAGCAGCCGCGGUAAUACGGAAGGUUCGGGCGUUAUCCGGAUUUAUUGGGUUUAAAGGGAGCGUAGGCCGUUUGGUAAGCGUGUUGUGAAAUGUAGGAGCUCAACUUCUAGAUUGCAGCGCGAACUGUCAGACUUGAGUGCGCACAACGUAGGCGGAAUUCAUGGUGUAGCGAUGAAAUGCUUAGAUAUCAUGAAGAACUCCGAUUGCGAAGGCAGCUUACGGGAGCGCAACUGACGCUGAAGCUCGAAGGUGCGGGUAUCGAACAGG